CCAAGUGGGCGUAAGCCUGACGCAGCAACGCCGCGUGGAGGAUGACGGCUCUCGGGUUGUAAACUCCUUUCAGCAGGGAAGAAAUUGACGGUACCUGCAGAAGAAGCCCCGGCCAACUACGUGCCAGCAGCCGCGGUAAGACGUAGGGGGCAAGCGUUGUCCGGAUUUAUUGGGCGUAAAGAGCUCGUAGGCGGCUUAGCAAGUCAGAUGUGAAACCCUCAGGCUUAACCUGAGGCCGCCAUCUGAUACUGCUAUAGCUAGAGUUCGGUAGGGGACCAUGGAAUUCCUGGAGUAGCGGUGAAAUGCGCAGAUCUCAGGAGGAACACCAGCGGCGAAGGCGGUGGUCUAGGCCGAUACUGACGCUGAGGAGCGAAAGCGUGGGGAGCGAACAGGAUUAGAUACCCUGGUAGUCCACGCCGUAAACGGUGGGCACUAGGUGUGGGGACUUUUCAACGGUUUCCGCGCCGCAGCUAACGCAUUAAGUGCCCCGCCUGGGGAGUACGGUCCA
rnacentral:rRNA from 1 species